UUUCCCAUAUAUUGGCCUUUCUCGGUUUGCUUCUUUUUUUUUAGAAAAUCAAUUAAAGUUCUUGGUUAGUCUUAUAAAAUUCCUAUAAAUUAAUUAUUCGAAUCUAUUAUUCAAGCUUGGGUUCUACUAGUAUUAUUCGGAGAUUUCGCAGACAGAUAUUCUAGCUUUGGCGUCCAGAUCCAGGCCCUAGCAAUCGACGUUGAUGUGAUUCCUACCUUCCAAUACUGAUUCAAAGCAGGAUCCGGCCCUAGUUGUCGACGUUGACGUGAUUCCUACCUUCCAGUACUGAUUCAGAGUAGGUGUUAAGGUGGGAACUUACACAACAACUUAUCGGGAAGAGCUUAAGUAUUAUCUUUGAACACCGCUAGAGGAUCGUAGACGACAGAUCAACGCGUUAGAUUGGUGGAAGAAUAAUGAAACACAAUAUCCUGUGUUUUCAAGAUUAGCUAGAGAUAUAUUGAAUGUUCCAAUGUCAACCAUUGCAUCGGAGAGCACUUUUAGUUAGGGACGACAAUAGCUUGGAGACAACCGACACUCAUUGGGAAGCAAUGCUAUGAAUGUUCUAAUUUGCCUUAGAGAUUGGAUUAGAGCGGAACGAAGAAAUCAAGGAAUGGAGGUGGAGCCGAAAGAUGAACAGAAACUUGAAGAAAUUAUGACUUCACAGGAGAACUCAGCAGAAUCAUGUCCAAUGCAUGGUUUUGUCUCCAUUGACUUUGACUAUCUUAUGCAAGUUUCCGUUAAUAUUAACAUGGAUGAGUUGAAAAAAUGAUGAGAACUUUGUAGAUUUUUCAUUCAUGUACAUUAUAAAUUUGGAAUCAUUUUACAAUCAAUAAAAUAUAACACUCAUUCACUCCUUAA